AAGUGAUUCAAUAAAACAAGAAUAAAACAUUUGCAUAAAAGUCCUGUCAAUAUUAAAACUACGAAGCUUCCGAUAAAAAUACUGGUUAGCUUCCAGC